rnacentral:lncRNA from 1 species
UCGGCCUGUUUAUGUUUUAGACGACGCAAAUUCCAAUCCAGAAAGACCUGAAGAAAAGAUGUGAAAGGUGGAUUAAAGAAGGCAAGGUGAAUGCCCUUCUAACUUUAGCUAACAGUUGUAAUAGAGUAUCCAAUGACUUAGUCGAUGUUGAUUUCGUUUACCAGUGCAUUAUCAAAACAUUUGCCGCUACCAAUGAUUGUGCAGCCGCUGUUAAGUUUUAUGAAAGAUUAUUAGAGGAGGAUGUUCCUGUUAAUAGGAAACUAGAAAGGGAGUUAUACCAAUUUCUAAAGCAGAAUAACUAUUCAGUACUUAAUACAAAAUCAAAUAAUAGUAAUACAAAAUAGAUAAUAAUUUUAUAUAAA